rnacentral:rRNA from 1 species
AUGGCUCAUGCCUGGCUCCGUCCAGCCGGCCGCGCCGACGACAGUGAAGACGACCCGGACUCCCCAACUCCUCCAGGGACGGUCCUCCUCGACCCGCUGGCCUACAUCGACGGCGAGCGCAACGCCACCACGGCCGCCGCCGCCAGGAGCAACGGCGGCCCCAUCCAGGUCACCUUCUGGAUCGCCCGCCCGCCGCGCGUCUCCCACCUCGCAGUCCACUGCCCCGGCCUGCCACCCGACGCGUUCCCCGAGCCGCCGCUGGUCGUCGCCACGGAUGACGACCUCGCGCUCAUCCGCGUCUCCGUCCCCCGUCCGCAGGGACGAGGGCACGGCCGCUCGGACGAGUUCUUCGUCUACCGCGCCGGCGGUGGCACCGGCGGACGUCCGCUGCUUCUUCUUAUGAUCCCCGAGCCCCAACAGCUUUACGGGUACAGGAAGGUCGGGAUCCUGAGCUGUCGGGCUGACGAUAAGUUCUUCAUCGCCACCCUCGUCUCAGACCCCUUCACACGCCAUGAUCGUCAUACGACGCGCUACAUCCACCUCUUCGACUCCGAAACCUUGGCAUGGAGCAGCAAGCUGGUCCACGUCGACUGGCCGACGAACAAGAAGUACAAGUACGCUGUCACGAACAAGGUGAUCACGAUUGGAGGAAGGCACGGCUCGAUUGGCUGGGUUGACCUCUGGCAUGGCAUCCUCGUCUACGACGUGCUCCGGGGCUGCAACAACGACGUGCUGCGCUUCAUCCCGCUGCCGUCGCCGCCGGAGUCCGAUCUCCAGCUCCAAAGCAUGGUCUACCACUCCGAUCUCAAAGCCAAGGGGCCGACCGUCCGGGACAUCAUCGGUGGCGUUGGCGCCAUCAAGUACUUCGCCAUGUACAGCCCCGGCGUCCGCACCACCGUCGUCUCCGGAGACUGGCAAGCGGACACCUGGAGGAUGAAGGACCCAUGGGUGAAGUGGCAGGCCGCCACCUGA